UAGGUCGCUGUAGGCCAUAUGGGCUGAUUGUCCUCUUAACCAAGGAGUGUGGAGACACUGGUAUGGCAUACAGGUGAGAUGUAAGGGUACAUCAUCAUAAAAUAUAAUCAACUCCAGAGCAUUCUACUAUCGAGAAUGUCUCUGAUGAGAUAUAGGUAUAAGUGUCCCUUAGACUUGAGAUUGCCUCAGUGACUUGCAAGCAACUCACUAUGCUUUGGUACUAGACUAAUUGAAUUUCUAAUUCAG
rnacentral:lncRNA from 1 species